rnacentral:rRNA from 1 species
GGUUAACCGUAUAGGGGAGCCGGAGGGAAACCGAGUCUUAACCGGGCGUUAAGUUGCAGGGUAUAGACCCGAAACCCGGUGAUCUAGCCAUGGGCAGGUUGAAGGUUGGGUAACACUAACUGGAGGACCGAACCGACUAAUGUUGAAAAAUUAGCGGAUGACCUGUGGCUGGGGGUGAAAGGCCAAUCAAACCGGGAGAUAGCUGGUUCUCCCCGAAAGCUAUUUAGGUAGCGCCUCGUGAAUUCAUCUCCGGGGGUAGAGCACUGUUUCGGCUAGGGGGCCAUCCCGGCUUACCAACCCGAUGCAAACUGCGAAUACCGGAGAAUGUUAUCACGGGAGACACACGGCGGGUGCUAACGUCCGUCGUGAAGAGGGAAACAACCCAGACCGCCAGCUAAGGUCCCAAAGUCAUGGUUAAGUGGGAAACGAUGUGGGAAGGCCCAGACAGCCAGGAUGUUGGCUUAGAAGCAGCCAUCAUUUAAAGAAAGCGUAAUAGCUCACUGGUCGAGUCGGCCUGCGCGGAAGAUGUAACGGGGCUAAACCAUGCACCGAAGCUGCGGCAGCGAACGUAUCACCCAAGACAACUUUACGGAGUUGACGAUUGACGGAGCGAAGCGACGUCAAAGCGUUCAUUAAAGUCGAGUUGGCUUAGGGAUACGUUCGUUGGGUAGGGGAGCGUUCUGUAAGCCUGUGAAGGUGUGUCGUGAGGCAUGCUGGAGGUAUCAGAAG